rnacentral:rRNA from 1 species
AGAGUUUGAUCAUGGCUCAGGAUGAACGCUAGCUACAGGCUUAACACAUGCAAGUCGAGGGGAAACGAUAUCGAAAGCUUGCUUUUGAUGGGCGUCGACCGGCGUACGGGUGAGUAACGCGUAUCCAACCUGCCCACCACUUGGGGAUAACCUUGCGAAAGUAAGACUAAUACCCAAUGAUAUCUCUAGAAGACAUCUGAAAGAGAUUAAAGAUUUAUCGGUGAUGGACGGGGAUGCGUCUGAUUAGCUUGUUGGCGGGGUAACGGGCCCACCAAGGCAACGAUCAGUAGGGGUUCUGAGAGGAAGGUCCCCCACAUUGGAACUGAGACAUGGUCCAAACUCCUACGGGAGGCAGCA